UUACAAAUCAGGUAAAUGAAGCCAGUUUUGUGUUAUUUGGCUUUAUGUAGGUUGUUGCCAUUUUUUCCACUAUGCAGUUUGUAUUUUUGGCUCAUAAUGACAUGGUGCUCGCUUUGUCCAAAACCUCCAUCCAGUAAAAUGGCCCUAAUGCUCCACCCACACAGAGUUACGUGAAUGUUCUCUGCACUUGAAUGUAGGACCUCUUACCCUCCUCACAUCUAACAACCAAAAGACUUCACUUACCAGGUGAGCUGUGUAAAGCUGAGGUGUAAACGCACAGACCAUGUCCAGACUGACCGCAGCAUGUUUUGUGUUGGUUCUAGUCGGGUGCAUCAGGGCACAGUUAAGCCACUCCACAGAGUGGGAGAUUGUCCGAAAAACCCGGAGCAAGCGCAUCUCCUGUAAUGUGGACGACGCCUUUUCUCUGAGCUCAUAUGCUCUUCACUGGUACAGACAGAGACCUGGAGAAGGUCUGCGCCGCAUUCUGUACUUUGGAGCAGGCAGUUCAAGCCCCACUGCUGAAGCUGAUUUUUCUAGCAGGUUUAAUGGAGCCAAAAAAGAGCAAACGACUUAUCUGACCAUUACUAACGCGAGAGAUGAGGACACGGCCACGUAUUACUGUGCCCUGUGGAAGGAUGGCACUGUUACUCAGAGACUGAGAACAUCUGCACAAAUACCAAGAUUUCCUGAUACUGCUUAUUUACAACCACAAACCGUGUGGCAGAAAUGAACUAAAAUAAAUAGUUGUAGAAAAGCAUUUUUCUCAUGUACAAAAAGCAUACAGCAUACACCAUGUUCAACCUCUUCUGCUUUUGUUUCGUAUAGGUUAGUGCACAUGUCCAUUUCAAUAACAUAUAGCCUACAUAAAAUACAUAAACAUAACACAGUUUGUAUUUAUAACCAUGAACAAAGUUAUAUUUAAAAAAAAGCAAAUGAAUAUGGUCAAAAGGUAUUAUGUUGCAUAUGUCUAUUUCAAUAACAUAUACAUAAAAUACAUGAACAUAACACAGUCUGUAUUAUAUAUAUAUAUAUAUAUAUAUAUAUAUAUAUAUAUAUAUAUAUAUAUAUAUAUAUAUAUAUAUAUUAGGGCUGUCGAAGUUAACGCGAUAAUAACGCAUUAACGCGACCUCAAUUUAACGCGAUUAAAAAAAUUAGUGCCAUUAACGCAAAUUCUAGUUCAUGUUGACACUUGACUGGUAGAACAAACGUUUUAAUGUCGGACUUGCCACCGUUUUUCAUUUGCGGUUUGUUAACAUAAUGUAACCGAUCGUGGUAGUGAUGCACUUGCAUAAUAAAGAAAUAAAUACACGCUAUAGCUACUCACAA